UGCGAACGCUGGCGGCAGGCCUAACACAUGCAAGUCGAACGGACCCUUCGGGGUUAGUGGCGGACGGGUGAGUAACACGUGGGAACGUGCCUUUAGGUUCGGAAUAGCUCCUGGAAACGGGUGGUAAUGCCGAAUGUGCCCUUCGGGGGAAAGAUUUAUCGCCUUUAGAGCGGCCCGCGUCUGAUUAGCUUGUUGGUGGGGUAAUGGCCCACCAAGGCUACGAUCAGUAGCUGGUCUGAGAGGAUGACCAGCCACAUUGGGACUGAGACACGGCCCAAACUCCUACGGGAGGCAGCAGUGGGGAAUCUUGCGCAAUGGGCGAAAGCCUGACGCAGCCAUGCCGCGUGUAUGAUGAAGGUCUUAGGAUUGUAAAAUACUUUCACCGGUGAAGAUAAUGACUGUAGCCGGAGAAGAAGCCCCGGCUAACUUCGUGCCAGCAGCCGCGGUAAUACGAAGGGGGCUAGCGUUGCUCGGAGUUACUGGGCGUAAAGGGAGCGUAGGCGGACAUUUAAGUC
rnacentral:rRNA from 1 species